rnacentral:rRNA from 1 species
UACAGAGGUCUCAAGCGUUGUUCGGAUUCAUUGGGCGUAAAGGGUGCGUAGGCGGUUCGUACAGUCAGACGUGAAAUUCCUGGGCUCAACCUGGGGGCUGCGUUUGAUACGUGCGGACUUGAGUGCGGAAGAGGGUCGUGGAAUUCCCAGUGUAGAGGUGAAAUUCGUAGAUAUUGGGAAGAACACCGGUGGCGAAGGCGGCUGACCUGGCCCAAUACUGACA